UGUACAGGGGACAUCAGAAAAAGGGAGAUGGUGGGUCCUCAUCUGCCAUCCAUUCGGACAAACCUGGUGCCCAUGAGGUGGGAGCUGGCAGCCAGGUCUGCAAAAUGGGGAGGAGGAGGAAGGGAGAGUUCAGGGGAAGGAAUCUGCAUAUGGUGUGUAAUGCUUUUAUGAAUUGGGUCUUUAAUAAUUUACAUUAUCAGUUUAAUACUUUGAAUACAAAUUAUCUUGCCCAUAUGCUGUGCUGACAAACAUAAAAAUGGAGUAAUCAAAGCUGUAAUAGCACUACAGCAAAAAGACAUAAAAUGCCACUAGAAGGCUUAGGAUAAAUUAUUGCAUGCACACACUAGCUCUAUGGCUCCCUGGUGCCAAAGGAUGCAUUGCAAUUUCUUCCUCAGACUUUGCAUUUGGGCUUGAGUGCUGGUGCAGUUCCAGGGGCACUGCUCGAAAUUCUGUGAGGCGGGCAGUGGUUAACAAGGAAGAGAGGAAAAAAAAAAGGCUCGGACCUGUUUGAUAAACACUGCAAUUUAAAUUCUGCUCUGGCACUACAUGGACUGCAAAGAAAAUAUAGCCCUGUUAUUUGUAGGGAGCCCCCUUCUUCCUCCAGCGGGGUUAUUUGCAUGUAUUAUAAACCGCAGUGUUGGCUUGCCAUCUUCAGGCAGCUGCCACACACUGCACAGCAUCCCUGUCCAUCCCUGCGCUUGUUGGAGGUGGUGGGUCCAGCCUGGGUGCUGCAAGGGAUGCCCAAGGGAAGAUCCUUGCUGCAGCCUGGCACCAGCUGACCCAGGCAACUGGCAGCAUCAGUCCAGGGAAAACACGAGUUUUGCCUCAUCCCUGUGCUUAAUCCCAAGCUCCGAGGGGCUGGAGGAGAUGGGAGAAGAUGAAACAGCCCCAGGCACUUGGUGCUCCAUCCUGGCCACCCUUGGGCUGCAGUUUAGGCAUGAGGGAAUGGUAUGGGUGGGCCUGAAGCUUGUAUGUGCUGGAGGUGACUUAGUGGUUUGCUUUUAGCAGUCUGGCAUCUUUUGUCGAUGUGUGCAGGUGUAUUGGGCAUCCCAAAGGACAUGGGGCUGAGCAGGUUUGCAGAGCAGAGACAGGAGUUAUGCUCGCAGGGAAGAGCUGCUGUUUGUAGGUGUGAGUGGGCCAUGUAUUGUAGCUUGUGGCAAAGUCCCUGCUUUUUAAAUACCAGUCAAUUCAUUGGUGCCGUAUCUGAAAGACAUCCCCCCUGCAAGCUAAUCUUUCACAGAAGGAGCCAUUUAAGGCUUGCAUUUGCAUAUGCUGAAUUUCUCAAUUAUCAAGGUUACUCCAUGCUGUAAUCCAUUUUGUGCUUCUAAAAUGAUCAGUGAAAAAUGAGGCUUCUUCCUAAAAUCAUCAACAAUGGAGGGAAUGGAGCUUUUCUGGAAGGCACGAGGCUCUGGCGGUAGCAACAUCUUUCCCAAAAGGCCAGGGAACUGGGGCAGGCUCAUUCUGCCUUGCUUAAACUCAUUGGAAAUGACCCUGAAAGCCAAACCCCUUGCACACAAAUGUGUUUUUCCCAUCUUUUCUGCUCCUGGGUUCUGCUGCCAGCUGUCUUUCCAGGAUGUGGUGCCAGUGGCCAGGGUGUAGUGCACCCCAAGGGCUAGGGUCACCUGUACUUGGCUUGGCCACUAAUGCAGGUAUCAGGACACAUGUGCUGAGAGGAGAGGGUGCCAGUGUUUGGGGAUCCAUGUCCCAGGAAGUUGGGGCACCCAGGGCUGCAGAAAGAGAGCAUCCUCCUUCUGCCCAUCCUACCUAUCUCCCUGCUCCGCCUUGCUCCUUGUGCCCUCCUCUGUGCACCCCUGAAGCCUGGUUUUGCCAGUGAACAGGGGGUUUUGGAGAAGCCGCAGGUGCUGCAGCCCCACUCAGUCCCCUGGCCCUGGGGAGUGGCCACAGGCAUGCCAUGACCCCAAAAUCCUCAGUGCAAAGAGUUACUUAGAGCCUCUCCUGCCAGGGGCAAUGGGGGCCACCUGGGUGGGCAAAGGGACCUGCAUGAGUCAGGAUGUGGAGACACAGAUGGACAUUCAGUCUCCACCAGAAGAGCUUUUCCCAUUGCCAGAUCUUCUGGAAAAUAAGGCCCUCACUGAUCCUUUUCCUCUGCAAAUAAAUUGGAUGGAUCAAGACCACAAUGAGAAAUAUCCCCAUCCUCAUCCAGAGAGGGAUUUUCAGCAUAAAAGCCUUUAUAUGACUCAUAGACUAUAACAUUUAUUUCCGCACCCGAGGUAAAUAUUUCCCCCUCUGAAUGUCUAAGCAAUGCAAUUUUGUUUGAAGCCUCCAUUUCUUUAAGUCUGGAGAUGACAAUAAUUCACCUGUUUUUCCUUCCCAUGAUUCUUCAAGCAAUGGAGAGCCAAAAGAGAGCAAACUCAGCUCUGGCUCUUUGUCUCUUGUCAGCUCCCUCCCUCAGAUAUGCUCAGACGAGCUUUGUCCUGGAGUUUACAUGUGGGCACCUUCUGAUCUCUGGCCGUUGGUAAAUGGCCCGUGUUUCCUGCUUAGAGGAAGAAAUAAGCACACCUGUGUGCAGCCACUGCCAGGGGAGAGAGACAUAACUUAAUUUACCUGCAGAUAAAUCAUGAUUUCACAGCAAUCUGCUGGCCACAGGUUGUUCAGAGUCCUGUCUCCUUGGCUCUAUAACAAUACCUGUCACUCAGUAUCGCAAAGAGACCCGCUUGUGACCGGAGAUCAUUGAUGACUGAGGAAAUGGCUGGAGUUGUAAACACCAUCAAUCUGGAGAAAACUAAAUGCACCUGGGAGCUGAUGUUGGGUGAGAGUGCAUGGGAUGUGUCUGCAUAGGAUGUGUCCUCAGGCUGUGUGGGUCCCCAGCUUUGGACUUCCCCCAGGGCUGUUGCCACCUGAAGCUCCUGGCUUUGGUGCAGUCUCUGAUUUUCAGCUGGUGGCACAUGACAUCUGAAGCAGGUGCUGUCCCUCCUGCCCCCUGCUUCCACCCAGGGCAGCCCUGAUCCUCCAGCAGCUCCCAACACUGCUCCCCAGGACCCUGCCCAUCCUUGGGUUGGACAUGUUGGUGUCCAAGCCUCAAAAUGCUAACUCACAUAGGCAGUUUCUUUUCCUUUCUGCCUCUUUCUUCCUUUUUCUCUUUUUAAAGGACACUGGAUCCAAGGCUGUCGUGUAGUGCUGAUGCUAUUAUUGUUAGCAGUUAUUUCUAUUUCCAUAGCUCCUAGAGGCAGAAAACAGAGUUCUACUGGGUUAAAUGUAGCACAUGCAUAAAGACAGUCUGAGUGCCAAACAACUUGCAAACUUCUUCUUAACAUAAGGAAUAUAAAAUUAAGAUUACUAUAGCAACAUCUUGCUCACGUUGCAUACAGAUAGGAUUUGUUGGUCUUUAUAUAUAUGUGUGUGUAUGUGUGUAUAUAUAUAUGUAACACAUAUACAAACCCUAAAUAUUGCUGGCAACUUUUCCUGGUGUUGAAUUUAUAUUUAAUUUCAAGCUCAUUGUCUGUAUCUCAGAUCUGUGUUGCUCCUUAAGAUCUACAUCCAGCUUUUCUCCAACAAGCCUUGUCUUCUCCUUUGGGCUCCUUUGUGUAUGCUGUGUGCCAGGCUUGAGUCCCUUCCACCUGAAGAGAGUGCUCAACCCCUGGCCAGAAGCAGGGACAAACCCUGAUAGGGAGGGGUGUUCAUUCCAUCUAUCAGGGGUUUUAUUUUAAAUGUAUGCAAUCCUGUUAAACUUCAAAACUGACUUAACAUCUCCAAAUCUGCUUUCUUCAGUCUGAUAGUAGAAAAGUGGGGUGAAAUGUGCAAAUCCCUCUUCUCUCUUCCCAUCUCUCUUCUCUCAAAUUAUUAGUUCAACUUUAAGUGAAAUUUUCCAUGAGUUAUGAACUACAGCUCUCAUUUCUCCUCCACAACUGAAUAAAACCUGGGCCCAGAAAUGCCUGUGGGAAGGGCAGAGCACACCCAGGAGUGGAGAGCUGAGGGAAAGGCUGCAGGAGGACGGAUGCUCCUACAGUUCAGCAUCACUUCAACUCCCCAGGAAAGCUGCAGAAAUUUCACCUUGUUGCAGAGUGACUGUCACUUGGAGAGAUGCCUGUGCUACCACUCAGCCGUAACCCAAGCAGCCCCAGCAGCUCGCACAGCAACCAGGCUGCCUUCUCUCUGAUUGGGGAUUUUUUUGAGCAGGAUUCAAGAAGAUCAUUGAAAAAACCCCACAUUUCAUCCUAGCACCUCGACAGCUGGCACAGCACAGGAUGCUGCCUGAUGUGGCUGGUGGUGAGGGCUACUCCAAUACGCCAGAACAAUGUGUGUCCCCAGGGUCACAAAGCUGGGGUCAAGCCACUGAAGAUGCUGCAAGGAAGAGCUUGGGUUUCUCUGCACAUGUCAGAAGGGCUGGAGUUAUCUGCUAGCAGAAGCUGUACAAAUCCCAUGCAUAAUUCAGCUACUGCCAUACAAAUCAUCCCACUAGUAAAAGCCUUUCCAGAAAUCACGAUUUGAUCGCAACAAACUUUGACCCAAAUGUGCCGCUGCCGACAGCCCCGUGUGGUGGGUUUUAAACUUUUGCCGUCAGUUCCUUCCGAGAGGCAAAGGAAAUCUAGGUCACCCCCUUUGCUUGUUUGUAACGAGGCUAAUUCUGAUUUCAUUCAUGUUGCAUCCUUGAGUUUGAGAUGGGGGGCAGAGGGAAAGGAGAGAUUUGAAAUGGCGAGUCAGCCUCAAAGUCAUUCUUCUUAAAUCCCAUCUCAGAGCAAAGGAAGUGGUUUGAUGUCGCAUACCAAGGCAACAUUGAUGCUGUCACUGAAUAUUCAGGGUAUGAAAGGAAUACAAAGUUUUCCUUCUUUCCCUUUUUUUUAAAUUUAGAUUGCAGUGUUAAGCAGCUGAGCUGAAUGAACAGGCCUGUGUUGGCGGCUUCUUGAGCAAUUAACCAAAAAGCCUGUUCUGGGCGAGUGAGCUGCGCGCUCUGCAUGAGGCUGCUACUUCAGGGACAAAGAGGGGAAGUGGCUGAACACAAGGUUAUUAGUUUGUCUGGAGUUUCUGUGCAAGCACGAUGGCAUAAAUAGAGCUGCUUGUUUGUUGAUCUCUGCAAUGGCAGCUCUGGGCAAGCUGCUGUAUUCAUCUAUUUACUGCUGAAGCAACUUGGGCUUUUUUUUCCUCAGGACUGGGAUUCUCUUCGGCUGUGCACAGGACAGCUGUGUUGCCUCUGCAGUAAAUAGCUGUGCAGUCCAAAUGGACAAGAAAAAAGUUUGGGAGAGAGGAACUACUGCUGUAUGUGUUUGGCUGGAGAUAAUGGUGGUUCCUCCUUUGGUAAUGGUUUGGAAAUAGCUCUGCUUCCUGGCCACAUGCUGGAUUUAAGGCAGAGAGGAGAGGCGGAGGGGAAAAGGUAUUGGUCCUUAUUUUGAAGAUAAUAGCCAUGAUGCACAGAGGGACUAAAUGGCUUAUGUUACCUGUAUUUGUCAGCUCAAGGAGUCUACGGCUGUGCACAGGAAUGAACCUCUGGUGUCUGGAGUCUACACCAGAAUCUCAAACAAGAAAACCAGACUGUGCUGGAAAGGCACAUGCUGGAGCUCUCCAACAGCUGAGCACCAUGUCCUGGUGGCAUUAAAACACUUCAGGUUGCUGGUUUUGAUACAGGAGGCAGAAGAGACCUCUGAACCCUCAUGUGGUCUGCUCAGGGGUGGAGGAAACCCACUCUGCUCAUCAGUGGGGGCAGCCCUGCGGGGCUCCUCCACACCCUGUCAAGGGCAGCAGCCAACGUGGCAAACGAUUGAUUAGCCGCGUUUUGGCGUCUGCUUCUGUGUGUCUCCCAAAGGCCACUGCUUGAGUCAAAAGGCCCACUUAUUGUGAAAUUACAACUUUAAUUGGCUGUUGCCUUGGCUGUAAAUAAAUAUGAGUACUCAGCCAAGCUGGUGUGGUGGGAGGGGAAGGAUUUGGUUUCAUUCAGCAUCUUUGUGCUGUGUUUGUGGAUCAGGGGAGCAGAGCAGGUGCUCGGGGAACACAGGCAGAGGAGACGAGUGAGCGUUUCUGCUUGGGGACCUUUGUGUGACGAACCACUUCAUGCUGUAAAAUUGCUUUUUGAGCUCACUGGGAGUUAUUUGCAGCAAGGAAACAACUGACCUGCCCUAUGGUCCUGCCUGGUGUCUGCUUUUGCAGGGUGGGAGCUACAGUUCAAAGAAAAUGUGCCUGCAUCCUCUCUGCCACUGAUACAUUCUGUGUAGAAAUUCAGGGGAAGGUUUCCUGGUGCCCCAGUUUUCUAUGUUUUUCCUUUCUUCCCUCUCAUAGCUCUUCCUUCCUUUGAAGCUGGACAUCAAAACACCUUUGAAUGAGCUUGUGUUGGGAUUCUGAAUUUCCCAGCAUGGUGUUCCUUAUCCAGAGCUAACUUACUUGUUCUGGGGGUGCUCAGGAGACCACUGAUUAUUUUGGUAGGCACAAAGAGUUUCCUGGGUCUGGCUAAAAGGAGUGGGCAGGUCACUGUUGCUAAGUAGGCUCAGUCAAAAUGGUAAGACAAACUGACCUUAGAUAUGUCAAAUUCAGCACAAUAGUAUUUGUGGAGAACAGCCAUUAUUUUGUAUGUUUGACAAAGGUUAAUUGUCUCUGACAAAAUCAGUGUAGUAGUCAACCUGUCCCUGUAUAGCAAGAAAAAAAAUCCUUCACUUAUAAGCAAUUUAUUAAGUAUCAUUAAAGCUGUCUCUGAAGACAAAAUAA